GGGACGUCAGGGUUGAUGAAAAGCUCAAUUGGUUUUUGGCUUUAUCGAAACAUACACAUUUGUUUGGAGAACUCGAAAUACAUUCCCUCUGUCACAUCUUGAAGAGCUGGUUCCUCAGGAUUGCAACGACAGUAUCGAGAGCCUCUUUAUUUUCCACCAGAUACUUCUCAGCUGCGUCUUUCCCUUCAAUGACCUCGCCUUCAAUGAAAUAGCUAGUUCCUUCUCUUAAGAUAACUCCAUG